ensembl:piRNA 21ur-10575 ncRNA
UUGAUGGAUUUGAAAAAUUGA